rnacentral:rRNA from 1 species
UUAAUAACACUUAGGAAUCUACCUAGUAGUGGGGGAUAGCUCGGGGAAACUCGAAUUAAUACCGCAUACGACCUACGGGAGAAAGGGGGCAGUUUACUGCUCUCGCUAUUAGAUGAGCCUAAGUCGGAUUAGCUAGAUGGUGGGGUAAAGGCCUACCAUGGCGACGAUCUGUAGCUGGUCUGAGAGGAUGAUCAGCCACACCGGGACUGAGACACGGCCCGGACUCCUACGGGAGGCAGCAGUGGGGAAUAUUGGACAAUGGGGGGAACCCUGAUCCAGCCAUGCCGCGUGUGUGAAGAAGGCCUUUUGGUUGUAAAGCACUUUAAGCAGUGAAGAAGACCAUAUGGUUAAUACCCAUAUGCGAUGACAUUAGCUGCAGAAUAAGCACCGGCUAACUCUGUGCCAGCAGCCGCGGUAAUACAGAGGGUGCAAGCGUUAAUCGGAAUUACUGGGCGUAAAGCGAGCGUAGGUGGCUUGAUAAGUCAGAUGUGAAAUCCCCGGGCUUAACCUGGGAACUGCAUCUGAUACUGUUAAGCUAGAGUAGGUGAGAGGGAAGUAGAAUUCCAGGUGUAGCGGUGAAAUGCGUAGAGAUCUGGAGGAAUACCGAUGGCGAAGGCAGCUUCCUGGCAUCAUACUGACACUGAGGCUCGAAAGCGUGGGUAGCAAAACAGGAUUAGAUACCCUGGUAGUCCACGCCGUAAACGAUGUCUACUAGUCGUUGGGUCCCUUGAGGACUUAGUGACGCAGCUAACGCAAUAAGUAGACCGCCUGGGGAGUACGGCCGCAAGGUUAAAACUCAAAUGAAUUGACGGGGGCCCCGCACAAGCGGUGGAGCAUGUGGUUUAAUUUCGAUGCAACGCGAA